rnacentral:rRNA from 1 species
UACGUAGGGUGCGAGCGUUAAUCGGAAUUACUGGGCGUAAAGCGUGCGCAGGCGGUUCGUUGUGUCGGCGGUGAAAGCCCCGGGCUUAACCUGGGAACGGCCGUUGAAACUGGCGAACUGGAGUGUGGCAGAGGGGGGUGGAAUUCCGCGUGUAGCAGUGAAAUGCGUAGAGAUGCGGAGGAACACCGAUGGCGAAGGCAGCCCCCUGGACCAGCACUGACACUGAGGCACGAAAGCGUGGGGAGCAAACAGG